GUACUCACUUUGGCAGCACAUAUAUUGGAAUUGGAACAACAGAGAUUAGGUCUCUGAGCAAGGAUGGCAUACAAAACUGUGAAGUAUUCCAUAUUGAA
rnacentral:snRNA from 1 species